rnacentral:rRNA from 1 species
UACGUAGGGUGCGAGCGUUGUCCGGAAUUAUUGGGCGUAAAGAGCUCGUAGGCGGUGUGUCACGUCGGCCGUGAAAACCUGCAGCUUAACUGUGGGCGUGCGGUCGAUACGGGGCAUCACUGGAGUUCGGCAGGGGAGACUGGAAUUCCUGGUGUAGCGGUGAAAUGCGCAGAUAUCAGGAGGAACACCGGUGGCGAAGGCGGGUCUCUGGGCCGAUACUGACGUGGAGGAAGCGAAAGCGUGGGGAGCAAACAGG